AAUAGAUACCCGGGUAGUCCACGCCGUAAACGAUGAGUGCUAAGUGUUAGGGGGUUUCCGCCCCUUAGUGCUGCAGCUAACGCAUUAAGUACUCCGCCUGGGGAGUACGGUCGCAAGACUGAAACUCAAAGGAAUUAGACGGGGGCCCGCGACAAGCGGUGGAGCAUGUGGUUUAAUUCGAAGCAACGCGAAGAACCUUACCAGGUCUUGACAUCCCAUUGACCGCUAUGGAGACAUAGUUUUCCCUUCGGGGACAGUGGUGACAGGUGGUGCAUGGUUGUCGUCAGCUCGUGUCGUGAGAUGUUGGGUUAAGUCCCGCAACGAGCGCAACCCUUGAUCUUAGUUGCCAUCAUUUAGUUGGGCACUCUAAGGUGACUGCCGGUGACAAACCGGAGGAAGGUGGGGAUGACGUCAAAUCAUCAUGCCCCUUAUGACCUGGGCUACACACGUGCUACAAUGGACGGUACAAACGGUUGCCAACCCGGCGAGGGGGGAGCUAACGUCCGACUAAAACCGGUUCUCAGUUCGGAUUGUAGGCUGCAACGUCGCCUACAUGGAAC
rnacentral:rRNA from 1 species